GCCCCUCACCGCGCCGGGCAACCUGGGUGGGGGCGCCGGCUCCAGCCAGCCGACCCUGCCUGUGGCCUCCCUCGCCUUCGGCCCCCACCGUGGGCAUGCCCUGGGCGGCCUGGCCGCUCGCUGCCUCCGUGGUGGAGCGCCGCAGCCUGAAUCGUCCCGGGCUGGCCCGGCUGCUGGGCGUCUCCUGGUCCCGGGGCGGGGGUCUGGGGAGGGCGCGGGCAAGUUCAGGCCUCCCUGGGGACCGGCUGUUCCAGUGCAGCCCCGGCUCCCAGCAGAGGGGGUGGGGUGAGGAGGACGCGGAAUCCUGGGCUCGCCAUAGCUUGGGGGCCUUGCAGUUCCUGGCCGCGCCUGCACGGCCUCCCCAGUGGCGCUCCCGGGGUGAAGGAAGGGUGAAAGGGUGAACCGGAGGGACGAGUGCCCAGGCCUGCCGCGUCUCCAGGAGCCUGCCACCGCUGCCUGCAGAGCAGACGGGACCUCGGCACGGGAAGUGCUCCGUGAGGAGGGUGCAAGCUGGCUGAUCUCUUCAGUCCUGAGAUGACCGAGCAAAUGAAGCAGGCCUGAUACCUCUUGAAGUGAAUAUGGAGAGCUCGCACGGGCAUUUCUUCACUGGGACACCACUGAGGGAUUCAUGGAGAAACAUACAGCUUAUGCCUUACAAAUUUCAAGUUGAAGGUCUGAGGUGGUUAUGGCCUGCAACAGGACACUUAAGAGGGAACUCCCUAUGGGCUGAGAUUUGACCUGGUUGGAGACCUGGUGUUCUUCUAAAGUCCAAGCAACUCUUGGUGACAUUGGACAUUCCUCCUUCUGUUGGUACCACCAGCUUACUGGAUGGCGCACCAAACUGGAGAGCAGCAAGAGUGGACCUGUGUGGAGAGAGCUUUGGGCAUCUUGAUGCUUGAAAUCUGUCCCUGCCUCCAGCACAGAGACAGCGAAGUGAAAGCAGGGCUCAAGAAGUGAAGAGGCCAUGAUAGCCCACACAUGGACCACAUUGACCACGUUAUUUUCUUUCCAUAAGCUAAAAGGGCAUCUCUGAAUUCUCAAAAAAAAAAAAAGAAAACAUGUUCAUAUUUUCAAAAUUCUUCUAAUAUUUUAAACUGAGGUUUUAAAAAGGGAUAAAGAGCUUUCUGACAGUUCAGGCAUCAUAGACUGAAUUGGAAGACUUAGCCUACGGGGCUUGACAUUUGACUAUCUGGGCAGCAAUAGAGCUUGCACCCAGAUGAGAAGAAAAUGACAUGGUGGUUCAAAUAUGUUUUAUAGUCCUCCCCGCAUUGUGUAUAUAGAUCUUGGAUGCUGUAAGAACAAGGAUCUCGAGGGUGCAUGAAGACAAAUAAAGUGAGCAACAGCCAGUGGCUUCCAGUUGGCUGGCCUGUUUCAACUCAGGAAAAUAAAGGCAUUGGUAACUGAUUUGUUCUCCUCCUCAAACAAAAUAUUCAGAGGAAGAGUUUAAAUGAUGAGGAUCUAGUGGUAAACCAUGCAAAUAAAAAUCCCUGCCAUGGAGAGAUUCAAUUUUAAGAAUGCCCUAGGGAUCCCUUUGGGUGGAGAAUUUAAUUGCAUUUUCAGUUUCAAUGUCCACACCAUGGCCAGCACUGAACAGAGAGGACAAUUUUUGCAGUGUUACAGAACUUUAAGUCUCCUGGCUGUUUAUAUUCACUGGCCCCAUCCAAGGUCCUGUGUGGUAUUCUCAAGGAUUUGGGGUGUAGCUGAGGGUGGAGCACUGGCCCAGUCAGGGAGCAGCAUCCACAUCCUCUGUCUGUGGGUAAGGUCAGUGGGUACCCCGCACCCCCUCCUGUGUGCCAACCUCCAGAUGCACCUGCCCUGUGUGAGGCCUCCCUAAGUACCUGCAAUCCAGAUGGCACCAAGGAGCAGGUUUGGAACAGGAUGCUUGCCGCACCACUCUCUGCAUAGGACCCUCCAGACUAAGGCUCAGUUACAGACACCUGUGUCUUUCUCCCCCUCCCACAACACCAGACUGGGUGCUGGAGCAGCUGCUGAGGCAAUGGCCACGGGGUCAGCUGGAGAGCAAAGGUCUGGAAGCCCUGGGACUUUCUCAUGAAGCACUUUUGGAGCAAGAUACUGCUUCAGCAGUAAGUGCUGAAGCUAAAGGAAUAUUUUUCACUCCAUCACCAGCAAAUAAACAACGUCUAUCUACACGACUAGAGAAAGACAAAAUGUCUUCCUCUGUACAGAGAAUGGUAUUUUAAAGUUCUUCACAUAUGAGGAAGGAAGAAAAAGGAUGAAGUAAAAAAAAUAAAUUUAUAAAAGUGGGUACAAGAG
ensembl:lncRNA